GCUAACAUCAAUUAGAAUAGUGCUUUGAGAACUUCCGUGGAAGGGGAUAUCAGAGGUUGAGAGACAGAGAGGGAGAGAGACCCAUACAAUUGAGCUUCGAUUUUGUUUCGUUACUAAGAAAAUGUCGCAUUCUGGAAAGCCCAUUGGGGACCUGGGGCUCGACUCGUUAUCCGAUCAGCUCCGCGACUCUCUUUGUUCUCUCGAAGCCAACAAGCCUGAUUUCCGUGAGCUCGAUCUGGGUUCUCCCGUUUCUCCUCUCCGAACUCGUGGGCUCAACACUACCGCCACCACUACGACUACAACAACCAGCUCCAGUUCUAGCUCCUCUGGAUCCGUAUCCGGCAGUCGAAAUGUGCACAACCAAGGUCUCAAAUCCAAUCAUUCUGGGGAGCUUUCCAACUCCUGUGAAACUAGUCCCACAAGGUCUGUCAGAAAUCCCAAACAGGGUACCUCCAGAUCCGACCCUGUAAUAUACUCUGGUGGCGGAAGUCAGAGCUCGGUGAACUCUCCUGCACCUGUUAAUGUACUUCCCACCGGGAACAUCUGUCCCUCUGGAAGGAUCUUGAAGACAGGCAUGGCAAUGAGCAAUCGGAGUUCCAAGACGGACGUUUUGGGAUCGGGAACUGGAAAUUACGGGCAUGGAAGCAUAAUGCGGGGUGGUGGGACGAAAUGCAGUAAUUUGGAUGCGGGACAUUCGGUGGGUACCAGUGCUAGUACUGUCCGUGGAAAUGUUGGUGGCCCAAGGAUGGGCAGUGUGGAUCCGGAGGAGGUGAAGAGGGCCGGGAAUGAAAUGUAUAAGAAGGGCCAUUUUGGGGAAGCAUUAGCCUUGUAUGACAAGGCUAUUGCCAUGGCGCCGGGGAAAGCAGCGUACAGAAGUAACCGGGCGGCGGCUUUAAUGGGUAUGGGAAGAGUGGCAGGGG
rnacentral:misc_RNA from 1 species